GGUGCCAUAGCUCAGUUGGUAGAGCAAAGGACUGUAAAUCCUUGUGUCACCGGUUCGAUUGCUGGUGGCACCA
rnacentral:tRNA from 1 species